AUUGAACGCUGGCGGCAGGCCUAACACAUGCAAGUCGAACGAGUGGCGGACGGGUGAGUAAUGUCUGGGAAACUGCCUGAUGGCGGGGGAUAACUACUGGACACGGUAGCUCAUACCGCAUACCAUCGGAUGUGCCCAGAUGGGAUUAGCUAGUAGGUGGGGUAAAGGCUCACCAGGGCGACGAUCCAUAGCUGGUUUGCGAGGAUGACCCGCCACACUGGAACGGAGACACGGCCCAGACUCCUACGGGAGGCAGCAGUGGGUAAUAUUGCACAAUGGGCGAAAGCCUGAUGCAGCCAUGCCGCGUGUAUGAUGAAGGCCUUCGGGUUGUAAAGUACUUUGAGCGGGGAGGCGUUACCCGCAGAAUAAGCACCGGCUAACUCCGUGCCAGCAGCCGCGGUAAUUC
rnacentral:rRNA from 1 species